GAAACCUAUAGAACUGCUAACAGUUCCUUUCAGAGGUGAGGGAGGUUGUUUUACUUCAAGUAUCAGAUAAACUCUGUUAGCUCAAAAGGUAAUGUUCACUGGCUUGCACUAAAAAGAUUGAAAUGCAGAUGCAGAAUCGAUUAAGAGAUGACAUAGCAUGUGGAAUCUAAUAGCCAAAACACAUGGUCGGAUUUGGUACGUCCGUACCAUCGGAUGGUUCGUUGAGCGCCUCUCGCCAAUUGUAACGGCAAAUAAACACUGGCCAGCUACAAGUUUGGAAUAAAAAACUUCAAUGCGCUUUGUACGCAAGCGCAGAAUUUAUCAAGUGAUGCCUCUGUUUCUUUUUAUUUGUAACCUUUGAAAGUUUUUG